UGGGGAAUAUUGCGCAAUGGGGGAAACCCUGACCCAGCAACGCCGCGUGAAGGAUGAAGUAUUUCGGUAUGUAAACUUCGAAAGAAUAGGAAGAAUAAAUGACGGUACUAUUUAUAAGGUCCGGCUAACUACGUGCCAGCAGCCGCGGCAAUACGUAGGGACCAAGCGUUGUUCGGAUUUACUGGGCGUAAAGGGCGCGUAGGCGGCAUGACAAGUCACUUGUGAAAUCUCUGGGCUUAACUCGGAGCGGCCAAGUGAUACUGUUAGGCUAGAGUGCAGAAAGGGCAAUCGGAAUUCUUGGUGUAGCGGUGAAAUGCGUAGAUAUCAAGAGGAACACCUGAGGCGAAGGCGGGUUGCUAGGCUGACACUGACGCUGAGGCGCGAAAGCUAGGGUAGCAAACGGGAUUAGAUACCCUGGUAGUCCCUGAGCGGGCUGGCAAGGCGCAU
rnacentral:rRNA from 1 species